rnacentral:rRNA from 1 species
UGACCUUUACAAUGGAGUCUGCACCGCACGUAAAAUUCCCCAAUCCAUUCCCAUGCGCCUCUCCGUCUCCCAGUCCCAGACGCCCGCAUCCACCGGAACCCAAGGCGACCAGGUCGACAUGCCGCGGACUCAGAGCAGUGUGCGGGGUGUCCGGGAGGAGAGCGGUUUCAGGGAUGGCUCUUCUUGGCGCCGCGAAUCUCCUCGCCGUGCCCAUGGCGGCGCAGGCAGCAAUGCUGGAGCCCGAUGUCAUCAGGUACAGAAAGCUGGACAGUGGAGUAAAGCUUGAAGAUGUAGUCGAUGGCGAAGGGCCGGUGGCUCGGGAAGGCGAUUUAGUGCAAUUCAACUACGUGUGCCGCCGUGCAAAUGGUUAUUUCGUGCAUAGCACAGUGAAUCAGUUCAGCGGCGAGAGUAAGCCAGUGACACUUCGACUCGACGUGCAAGAGGUUCUAGGACAGGAUUUCUCUUGGCAAUUGACCUUUCUACAGAUGAUUUAAAGGUUUUUCAUAGCAAUUUCACAUCGUUCAUGGCUCCUGCCGACAGAUGCAUCAUUUUCCUUGUAGAUGAUUCGAGGCCUCAAAGACGUCAUAAUCGGCAUGAAAGCCGGAGGCAAGAGGAGGGCUCUGAUACCCCCUGAAGUUGGCUAUAUCGAAGAGAGCUUGCAGCCCGUACCGGAGGAGUUUGGACCACGCCGGAGCCUACUGUCGCAUGCCAAGGAACCGCUGGUGUUUGAGGUUCAGCUGCUCAAAGUCCUGUGAUCAUUAUCUCAUGAUCAUCACAUGCCAAUGCAGAUAGAAGCUCUCCUGUCCUGUUCUACAAGUGAAGAGAACCACAGUGAUUCUUUUCUGAAUUUUUUCUUCAAUUUUUUCUGAUUUUUUUCAAACCAUGUG